UACGUAGGGUGCGAGCGUUACUCGGAAUUACUGGGCGUAAAGCGUGCGCAGGCGGUUUUGUAAGCCAGAUGUGAAAGCCCCGGGCUUAACCUGGGAAUGGCAUUUGGGACUGCAAGGCUAGAGUGUGGCAGAGGAGACUGGAAUUCCUGGUGUAGCAGCGAAAUGCGUAGAUAUCAGGAGGAAUACCGAUGGCGAAGGCAGGUCUCUGGGUUAACACUGACGCUCAUGCACGAAAGCGUGGGGAGCAAACAGG
rnacentral:rRNA from 1 species